rnacentral:rRNA from 1 species
AUGGUCUUUAAUGUGAAGCCCAAGGUGGUGGGCGGCGAGCACGCCGAGUGCGGGGGCGCUAUGGUGAGCAAGAUGCCCAACGUCAUAUGGCCAACGGGAACCUUUAAUGAUUAUGUCAAGGAGUGGCAACAACAGUGGUUUUACAUCAUUGAGCCGAGCGCUCCUCGCGGCCUUCGCGCCCCUGUCGCUGCUCCCAGCAUCGGCGACCCCUCCAACCGCGCCACUUCUCAACCACUGCGCCACCCCAGCCGUUCCCCGAGCUCGCACCGCCCCUCGCCCAGCCUUCGUGGCGAGCUAUUCCAAGGGGAGGAGCUCCUCUCCUGCUCCUGCAUGCCACUGCCACCCUCCACGGCGAACCCCCUCACCUCCCUUGCCCCACCGGAGCCCAAGUUCGGCGCCGCCUCGCCGCCUUGA